rnacentral:rRNA from 1 species
AACACAACUCGCAACAACACAAGAUCGUCCACAGGUGCAUAGCCUGUACUAGAUAUCUUAGCUAGCUUCAAAUCACCAUGUCUAUGUCUCUCCUGCCGCAUGCCACGGUGUUCCUGUUCAUCUUCCUAGUGGCCUCACCGUCUCAGGUUCAUGCUCGGGUUGCUCCGGAUGAUCGGCACGCGCAUGGCGGCCAAGGUUCCAGUAACACCGACAUCGCCACAGGCGAUGCUCCGGUGACGCUGACGCCAGCUUAUGCACCAGGGAACGACGGCGCUGGUCGUGGCCGGACGCUUUGGUCGACGCCGAGCGAUGGUGUUGGCCAUUAGCUACAUGCUCGUCCUCACUCUGCUUUCGUUGCCGUUGCUUCUUAUAAAACUUGACAUACAUUCACGUGGAAGAUUGGAAGUGUAGAACUAGUAGUAGUAGUAAAAUCUCGAGAGAAAUUGUAUUCUUUUCCUGAUAAAUUGACGGCGUUCUGGUCUGCACGUUCCUGUAAUUUGGUCGAAAUAUGUGAUUUCCC